rnacentral:ribozyme from 12 species
UUCCGCUAAAGAGAAGAAGGGCAAGAAAAAGGACGGAACGAAGAAAAAGAAGAAGAAGAAAACUAAAAGCUAGCUGUUCUUCUUCUUCUUCUUCUUCUUCUGUUUCUUCUUCC